GUGCAUAUGAUGAUCAAGAAAGUUUAACACUGAGAUAUUCUCGAUGAAGUGUCAAAAUAUCGAGCUUUUUAAGACUGAUGCACA